CCUGGUCCAGCCCUAACUAUAUGCUUUAGCAAAAAGGAAAGUUUGAAGCCUAAUCUUGAAAGUAGAGAUAGUGUCUGUCUCCUGAAUCCAAACUGGAAGCUGGUUCCACAGAAGAGGGGCCUGAAAACUGAAGGCUCUGCCUCCCAUUCUACUUUUAAAUACUCUAGGAACAACAAGUAGGCCUGCAGAGCGAGAGCGAAGUGCUCUAAUAGGGUGAUAUGGUACUACAAGGUCAUUAAGAUAAGAUGGGGCCUGAUUAUUUAAGACCUUGUAUGUGAGGAGCAGAUUGAAACAUGGUGAGAUUAAAAGCUCCACCCUGACCGAGGAGAAGCAGGAGCUCAUGCUCCAUCCUGUGGGUUUGAAGGACUCACACUGCAGCAGGAUAAUGAACCCAAAUACACCAAAGAAGACCGCAGAGUGCUGACAUCAUGGACCGAGUGGAAGAAGGGGUUAAAGAUGAACCUGGCUCUGGUCCAUGACAGAGAGCUCAUUAAGACGUUCUGGGAGAGGAGGAUCGAGACUCAGACUCAGCAAGCUGACAGCGAGGAGCAGAGGAUGAGCCAGAGCGCACUCAAAAAGCUGAGGGGGGAGUGGCUGGUCCGUCUGGAGAACCGAACCAAACACCUGAAGAACCUCAAUGACAACUACAUGAGGAAGAUGAAGAUGGAGCCGUCAGCUGACCAGACCUGAGCCCCCGAUAACUCGCCGUAGAGCUGCUGAGCCAACAACCGCGUCUCCUCCUGCUGCUGUGUGAGAGAAAUAAAGAGCUGGAAAAUAGACGCGUCUGUGAUUCAUUCAGAGUCAGAGUUUGAACGUUCUGUUUUAUUUCCUGCAUCUCAAACACAUCAGUGCAUCAGAGCCAGCAGUGUCAGGCUGUGCUGAUUCUGCAGCAGGUGUAAAGAUCACUGAGACUCACUCUGAAGCCUCUGACCGCCAACAUGGCGCCAUCUGCUGGACAAACAGGAACAAACCUCGAGGAGGGGCUGAACGUUCAGUCCAGUAAAGGUGGGAACAUGAAGGAGUUUCCGACGCCGGCCACAUGCAGCGUGUGAACCAAUAAAUAAUCUAUAAGUGACCAUUAGUGACAAAACCAUCAGUCCCCUUCAACACCAGCAAACAGCAGAGCUGGGUCAGUGUUUGGAACGUAACUGAAAUAAAAACAACUAUUAAAUAUUUUAAAUUCACUCUUCAGUCAUUUCAAGUUUUCUCACAGCAGCUUCACAAAUACAAACUUUUUAAGUUUUCAGUUGUUUUUCUACAGAAGCAUAAAAAAGUUAAUUUUAUGAAUUAUUCUCUGCAGAAUUUAAGACUUUGGCC
ensembl:lncRNA